UAACUGAUCUUUGAUAUUAUCGUUUCAUGACAAAAUCCGCGGUACAUUUUUUACAAAAAAUACUAAUAUUUUAUUUCGCACAUAGAAAAUUAAAUUUAAUCUACAAGCUGUGGAAAAACCUGUUGAAAAAGGCUCAAAAAGUGGAUAACUUGCUGGGAUCAAGGUUAAAACUGGGUUUUUCGGAUGUUUUCCUAAGUAUUAAUACUUCAUCAAUAUAUGGUUAAAUAUAGUUUAAUAAUCAAUUAAACUAAUUGAAAUAACAAUG
rnacentral:sRNA from 1 species